AAAAAAACAACAGAUCAAUGUAUCAACUUAUUUAUUAAAGUUAUUAUGACAAACUUUGUUUCAAGUUUAAAAAACUAUAACAGGUUGGACUAGGGAAUGAAACAAAAGUCUGUUGAGCUGAUUUUCAGCAAAAAGCAAAACAAAACUAACAAUGUCCCUAUCACUUUAACUAAUUGAACUCUUAUCAAAUCUAAUUACUCUGUAUUUAGAUAAUCAAUACCAAAGCUUAAUAAAAUAUGUCACAAUGAUAUUAAAAUUAUUUUUGUCAACUUCAGUUCCAUUUGAUGGCUUAGUCAAUUGUAUUCUUUUAGUUGACUAAUUUUAGUUCAAACCAAUAAAGCUACAAUACUCUAAGAGUGCUCUACAUUUUAAUACAAGCCUUAAGAAGUAAUUUCUGUAUUUAAUUUAGAUAUCAUUUUUUGCUUUUUGUACAAAAUUUUUCUGAAUUCCAUCUAUUUAUUGUAUAUAAUGUUUUUUAAAAUGAAUGCUAUAUUUCUUUUUUAUUUUGUUUUGAAAAAGAAUUGUUAUUUUUUGUUGCUACCAGUUUGAUUUCAAAAGUUCAAUUUUUCUUAAGACACACAUUUUCGAUCAAAGUUUCUUUCAGUUAUAAUUUACAAUCUGAUCAUGAGGAGUUCAAAAUUUCUUAAACACUUAAGCAAUAAAGCAAGAAAUGCACCAAUAGUUGGGAGAAAUAUUUUCUGAUUUACUUAAUUCUCUUUGAUCAAAUAACAUUCUUUUAUAUAUUUAUAACUUGUUCUUGUUCUUAAAAACACUCUGUGAUACAGUUGUCUAUUUUUCAUUUCAAUGGACAAAUGUUUACUUUAUUUUUAACACCAAAAAGUAAUAUCUUGGCUUAAAAAUAAUUUGAAUUAAUUUUUUUUUUAAAAGGAAUUACACUAUUCAUUCAUGAUUGUAAUUAUGUAUUUCUUCAAUUGAAAAAAAAAUGUCUUCUAAAAUAUUUUGAAACCCAAUUUAUUUUCUCAUUCAGAUAGAAAAAAUAUCAUUUCAAAAUACACAUACUUAUAUACAUUUUAUUGUAUAUAUAUAUAUAUAUC